GUGGGGAAUAUUGGACAAUGGGCGAAAGCCUGAUCCAGCCAUGCCGCGUGUGUGAAGAAGGUCUUCGGAUUGUAAAGCACUUUAAGUUGGGAGGAAGGGCAGUAAGUUAAUACCUUGCUGUUUUGACGUUACCGACAGAAUAAGCACCGGCUAACUUCGUGCCAGCAGCCGCGGUAAUACGAAGGGUGCAAGCGUUAAUCGUAAUUACUGGGCGUAAAGCGCGCGUAGGUGGUUUUGUAAGUUGGAGGUGAAAUCCCCGGGCUCAACCUGGGAACUGCCUCCAAAACUGCAUGACUAGAGUACGGUAGAUGGUAGUGGAAUUUCCUGUGUAGCGGUGAAAUGCGUAGAUAUAGGAAGGAACACCAGUGGCGAAGGCGACUACCUGGACUGAUACUGACACUGAGGUGCGAAAGCGUGGGGAGCAAACAGGAUUAGAAACCCCGGUAGUCC
rnacentral:rRNA from 1 species